CACCUAAAAGGAUUGACUUCAAAGUAAGAUUAAGUUCUGGUUUAUUGACUUUGUGUUCUCCUGAUUAUCCUCCUUCGUCUUGUGCACAAAACACAACAAAAGGAGCCUGCGUUUGUGCACAUCAAAAUGGUGAUAUAUCUACAUACCAGUACAAUUUAAUUGGCAACUUUGAUCACCAAGGAGGAAAUUUUACAUGUGACCUCUGUGCAUCACCUCAAACACCUCUGAGUACAAAGAGCAGUGGCAACUGUACAUCUAUUAUCUUUGAAACAACCACUGCAGCAGCUACGACUACAACAACAGCAGAAACAACAACAGUCACCAAAUCAACAACAUCAGAAGGUAUUAUAUUCAACUUAGCACAUUUAUUAUCAGAUGGGACAAGCUUUUAUUUUUGGACAUGCAAUCAGUAAGGUGCAUUUCAGCUUAUUAGUAUACCUGUAUGAUGGCAUGUAUGUAUGUCUUUAUUUCAAUCUGCAGAGCUUUCCUAAAACUGCCUUUGUGUUAAAAACUGUCUAAUCAAGACAAUUCUCAACUUUUGUUUUUUUGGUCACUAAUGGGUCUUUGGUUUAUUAACCUGAGCAGAUAACAUGUUCUGCAUAAUAAUUAAUUCUAAUAUAUUAAUUAACUUAUAAUAAAUUAAUAGUGCUUCCCAAUCAAGGCUUGUCCCACUCCUCUGCUGGCUCUUUCCCAUUUUG